UACUAGACCAUCAAAGAUGCAGAUUUGGAUUUUCUAUUUCAUAGUUAUUGAAAUCAUAAUGGAGCUGUUCUCAAAACAUUGGGUGACAAAGAAUUCACUUUUACAAAAAUCGAGCAGGAUAUUAAAGACAGCGAACUAUAGAACAAAUAUGGCGAAGCUGCAUGAAGUCUAUGUUGAAUUUUAUUAUUGAAAAAAAUAUGCUCUUCAGAUUUAAUGUUAGUUUUUAUUGUUUAACAGUAAUUGCAGUUUUCGAAUACCUGUAAAAUAAACCUAAUUCUUAAA